rnacentral:lncRNA from 1 species
AUGAAGGAGGAAGCCAUUUUACCACCUGCACAUAAAACUAGUGUGCCAGCUCUGCCAUUCCACAGAGGUGCCAGCUUCAGGUUCUGUAUAUCCUGGGAAGGGACCAGACAGCAGAGAGAGCAUCACAGAUUUGUCCAGUUGUGUGACACAAGCUUCAUAGAGCCUUCCUAUGGCCAUGUGGAGGCUCCUGAUCAGGACAGCAGCUCAGAUGAGCAAGGAGCCAGGGAAGGAGCCUUCCAGGUCCUUCCCGCAGAGCCCAGAGGCCUGAGCAGCGGUUCUGUCUUGCGCUCUGCGCUUCCCCAGGCAGGGAAGGAGAUGUAG